rnacentral:lncRNA from 1 species
UGUGAUUGUGCUUUCCCCACCCCCUUGUUCUGGCCCAGUUUUCUAUUUUUAACUAAAUUGCCUUUGGACCAAAUUACUAACCUGCACCCCCUUUGCCAUUUUCACUUAUUAUUUUAUUUUCGUUUUAUUUAAUUUCAUUUAAAAUGUUUCCCUUGGGCCAAAAAUUCUAAAUUAAUUCAUGAUUGACAUUUGGAAUAUUUUUU